rnacentral:rRNA from 1 species
UGGGGAAUCUUGCACAAUGCGCGAAACCCUGAUGCAGCAACGCCGCGUGAGUGAUGAAGGUUUUCGGAUCGUAAAACUCUGUCUUUGGGGACGAUAAUGACGGUACCCAAGGAGGAAGCCACGGCUAACUACGUGCCAGCAGCCGCGGUAAUACGUAGGUGGCAAGCGUUGUCCGGAUUUACUGGGCGUAAAGGGAGCGUAGGUGGACUUUUAAGUGAGAUGUGAAAUACUCGGGCUCAACCCGAGAACUGCAUUUCAAACUGGAAGUCUAGAGUGCAGGAGAGGAAAGUGGAAUUCCUAGUGUAGCGGUGAAAUGCGUAGAUAUUAGGAAGAACACCAGUGGCGAAGGCGACUUUCUGGACUGUAACUGACACUGAGGCUCGAAAGCGUGGGGAGCAAACA